AUUGAACGCUGGCGGCAUGCUUUACACAUGCAAGUCGAACGGCAGCGCGGGCUUCGGCCUGGCGGCGAGUGGCGAACGGGUGAGUAAUACAUCGGAACGUGCCCAGUAGUGGGGGAUAGCUCGGCGAAAGCCGGAUUAAUACCGCAUACGACCUGAGGGUGAAAGCGGGGGAUCUUCGGACCUCGCGCUAUUGGAGCGGCCGAUGGCAGAUUAGCUAGUUGGUGGGGUAAAGGCCUACCAAGGCGACGAUCUGUAGCUGGUCUGAGAGGACGACCAGCCACACUGGAACUGAGACACGGCCCAGACUCCUACGGGAGGCAGCAGUGGGGAAUUUUGGACAAUGGGCGAAAGCCUGAUCCAGCAAUGCCGCGUGUGUGAUGAAGGCCUUCGGGUUGUAAAGCACUUUUGGCGGGAACGAAAAGGACUGUGCCAAUACCACGGUUCGGUGACGGUACCCGCAGAAUAAGCACCGGCUAACUACGUG
rnacentral:rRNA from 1 species